UCUAUGACGUUAGCGGCGGACGGGUGAGUAACACGUGGGCAACCUGCCUGUAAGACUGGGAUAACUUCGGGAAACCGAAGCUAAUACCGGAUAGGAUCUUCUCCUUCAUGGGAGAUGAUUGAAAGAUGGUUUCGGCUAUCACUUACAGAUGGGCCCGCGGUGCAUUAGCUAGUUGGUGAGGUAACGGCUCACCAAGGCCACGAUGCAUAGCCGACCUGAGAGGGUGAUCGGCCACACUGGGACUGAGACACGGCCCAGACUCCUACGGGAGGCAGCAGUAGGGAAUCUUCCGCAAUGGACGAAAGUCUGACGGAGCAACGCCGCGUGAGUGAUGAAGGCUUUCGGGUCGUAAAACUCUGUUGUUAGGGAAGAACAAGUACAAGAGUAACUGCUUGUACCUUGACGGUACCUAACCAGAAAGCCACGGCUAACUACGUGCCAGCAGCCGCGGUAAUACGUAGGUGGCAAGCGUUAUCCGGAAUUAUUGGGCGUAAAGCGCGCGCAGGCGGUUUCUUAAGUCUGAUGUGAAAGCCCACGGCUCAACCGUGGA
rnacentral:rRNA from 1 species